GGCCUUGCGCUCUUUGAGCGGCCGAUGUCAGAUUAGCUAGUUGGUGAGGUAAAGGCUUACCAAGGCGACGAUCUGUAGCGGGUCUGAGAGGAUGAUCCGCCACACUGGAACUGAGACACGGUCCAGACUCCUACGGGAGGCAGCAGUGGGGAAUUUUGGACAAUGGGGGCAACCCUGAUCCAGCCAUGCCGCGUGAGUGAAGAAGGCCUUCGGGUUGUAAAGCUCUUUCGGCCGGGAAGAAAUCGCAUGGGCCAAUACCCUGUGUGGAUGACGGUACCGGAAUAAGAAGCACCGGCUAACUACGUGCCAGCAGCCGCGGUAAUACGUAGGGUGCGAGCGUUAAUCGGAAUUACUGGGCGUAAAGCGUGCGCAGGCGGUUUUGUAAGACAGGCGUGAAAUCCCCGGGCUUAACCUGGGAACUGCGUUUGUGACUGCAAGGCUAGAGUACGGCAGAGGGGGGUGGAAUUCCACGUGUAGCAGUGAAAUGCGUAGAGAUGUGGAGGAACACCAAUGGCGAAGGCAGCCCCCUGGGUCGAUACUGACGCUCAUGCACGAAAGCGUGGGUAGCAAACAGGAUUAGAUACCCUGGUAGUCCACGCCCUAAACUAUGUCAACUAGGUGUUGGGUGGGUAAAACCAUUUAGUACCGUAGCUAACGCGUGAAGUUGACCGCCUGGGGAGUACGGCCGCAAGGUUAAAACUCAAAGGAAUUGACGGGGACCCGCACAAGCGGUGGAUGAUGUGGAUUAAUUCGAUGCAACGCGAAAAACCUUACCUACCCUUGACAUGCCAGGAACUUGCCAGAGAUGGCUUGGUGCCCGAAAGGGAGCCUGGACACAGGUGCUGCAUGGCUGUCGUCAGCUCGUGUCGUGAGAUGUUGGGUUAAGUCCCGCAACGAGCGCAACCCUUGUCGUUAAUUGCCAUCAUUUAGUUGGGCACUUUAACGAGACUGCCGGUGACAAACCGGAGGAAGGUGGGGAUGACGUCAAGUCCUCAUGGCCCUUAUGGGUAGGGCUUCACACGUCAUACAAUGGUCGGUACAAAGGGUUGCCAAGCCGCGAGGCGGAGCCAAUCCCAGAAAGCCGAUCGUAGUCCGGAUUGCAGGCUGCAACUCGCCUGCAUGAAGUCGGAAUCGCUAGUAAUCGUGGAUCAGCAUGUCACGGUGAAUACGUUCCCGGGUCUUGUACACACCGCCCGUCACACCAUGGGAGCGGGUUCCGCCAGAAGUAGGUAGCCUAACCGCAAGGGGGGCGCUUACCAAGGC
rnacentral:rRNA from 1 species